GACGAACCGUGCAAACGUUAUUCGGAAUCACUGGGCUUAAAGGGCGCGUAGGCGGGCUCGCCAGUCAGGGGUGAAAGCCCACGGCUCAACCGUGGAAGUGCCUUUGAUACUGCGAGUCUCGAGGGAGGUAGGGGCGUGCGGAACUUCCGGUGGAGCGGUGAAAUGCGUAGAUAUCGGAAGGAACAUCGGUGGCGAAAGCGGCGCGCUGGACCUCUUCUGACGCUGAGGCUCGAAAGCGUGGGGAGCAAACAGG
rnacentral:rRNA from 1 species